rnacentral:lncRNA from 1 species
CCAACUCUCUCUCUUUCUCAGCCUGUCUUAACCAAUUCCCCUAUGGCAACAGCGGCAGCGGUAGCGGAAAAUAAGGAAUAACAAAAUCCCCACCAAAAAUCCAAAAAACAAUAGCAUAAGCCAUUCCUUUCAUUCCCUUAACCAGAAAACUACUCCGCUUCAGUGGUGCAAGGCCCCAACCCCAUUCAACAACUGCAAUAACAAUUGCUAGAGACCAAUUAAGUUGCA